rfam:Vibrio anguillarum 775 chromosome I, complete sequence.
GCGAAAUAGUCGGGGAGCCGAUGCAGAUUCUGCAUCGGCUGAGAUCGAAAUUCGAGACCCGUCGAACCUGAUUCAGUUAAUACUGACGUAGGGAACUAUGAGCACUUUGUC